rnacentral:lncRNA from 1 species
AUUAUACAAGACAAGCAAUAUAUAUAUCAAGGAAGCGCAACUGAACCAUUUAACCAUUCCAGUAUAUUAUCAUGCAUUUAAAGCUGUAAAUUCAACAAUCAGUUAAACAAGACAACAAAUAAAUGACUAAUCGUUUUUAGCUCCAUUAGUAACCUGUAAUUAUUCUCAAAGUUUUCAAAAUUACACAAAAUACCAUAUUAUCAAUUAUUUAGCUUCGAUUCCAUAACAGAGAAUAAGGUGAGAGAUUUUUACUCGAAUUGGUGUACGAAAUACUGAACUUUCUACUGCGCCUACUGGCGGUUCCCCGGUUUCCUGAGUUUUUAUGCGGAGAUUAAAACACACUU